CUAUGUUCAAAAAUCGUAAAUAUUUCUAAAAACAUAUGAUAGUUGUUAUAGACAUGAAUUCAAAUUAAGAAGUUUUUGGCAUAAUGUUGUUACCUUGUUAUCGGAAAGUUCGUAUUAGCCUGUAAAAAGCGGUGCGGUGUUACAAUCUAAUCUAAUUGUGCGUGCACAACACUGUAGUAAAAUGUGGGAAUAGGAGUAAGCCAUCGGUCUGACUUCCUGGCUACAGAAUAUGUUGAACAUAACUAAUAAAUUAUAUAUUAUUAUAAUAUUUUUUAUUGACUAUGUAUAAUAUUAUUUUGUAAUUCGCAUACCUUUUAUUUUUGUAUUUCUCCAUAAAUCAAAUCAUGGAUUAAUGAUCUUGGUAAAUUUUUUAUUGUA